UGUGAACGCUGGCGGCGUGCUUAACACAUGCAAGUCGAACGAGAACGGAUUAUAGCUUGCUAUAAUUGUCAGCUAAGUGGCGCACGGGUGAGUAAUGUAUAGGUAAUAUGCCUCUUACUAAGAGAUAACAAAUGGAAACGUUUGCUAAUACCUUAUACUCCUUAUUAACAGAAGUUAAUAAGGGAAAGAUUUAUUGGUAAGAGAUUAGCCUGUAUUGUAUCAGUUAGUUGGUGGGGUAAUGGCUUACCAAGACUAUGACACAUAACUGGUUUGAGAGGAUGAUCAGUCACACUGGAACUGAGACACGGUCCAGACUCCUACGGGAGGCAGCAGUGGGGAAUAUUGCACAAUGGACGAAAGUCUGAUGCAGCAACGCCGCGUGGAGGAUGACACAUUUCGGUGCGUAAACUCCUUUUAUAUGAGAAGAUAAUGACGGUAUUAUAUGAAUAAGCACCGGCUAACUCCGUGCCAGCCGCCGCAGUAA
rnacentral:rRNA from 1 species